CUGCUGCCAUCCCCACUGUCACUGACUGUUCUUAUUUCUAUGAGAUAAUCUUCUUCAAAUGGUACCAGAAAUUCAGCUGAAGUGUUGUCUCCAGUAUAUGCGUUUUGCUAUGUCUGUUUUGUCUAUACAAAAUCUAAGUUAAAAGGGAUUAGAAAGCAGGAGUUAUUUAGUAUAUUUUUAGGUUUUUAUGGAUUUUUGGAAAGUUAAGAGUAUCUUCUGUCAUGUCCCAAAGUUUCCAGAGCACUAUCAGCAUCCUGCAGAGGAUUAAAAUUAAUUGAAAACAUAGAAAUAUAUUCUGCAGAUUUUUGUGAUGGAGAUCACAGUGGGCAUUUACUCCAGCUUUCGGGGGAGCCUCUAUCUGCUAGAAUAAGAUUAUGAAUCCCUAUCCAAAACAUUUAUAUUGUUCUAUAAAUGUGCACCUUUAAACAAGACAUCAACCUGUAAGAACGUUUAUACCCAGAACUCAUCAAAUGCUUUAGGAACUAAGGGUUUAGUGGUUUCAGUUUGGUUUUUGUUUUUCUGUUGGUUUGUUGUUGUUUGUUUUUUUUUUUUUAUUUUCCCUGGUUGUAGUGAGCAUUUGUAGUCAAACAGAAAUACUCACAUUGAUUUCUGUGUAAAAUUACCACCUGUUAAUGAAAACCUGGGAUGUUGCAUAGCAGUAUGUUCUUAAAAGCUUCAAGAAAGGACAGAAAUUUGGCUAGUAGCAUCUAGGAAGCACAUUUCUAACUAAACAUAAUGGAUCCAGAGCCUGCUUGCACAUAGGUCUUUUUGCUAAUGAAUCACUGGACCAAGGUGCAGAGCAGCAGAGCAGCUUGGGGUGUCUAGACAAGGAUCCUGCAGACUACGAACAGCUUUUUGCCUUCAAGAAGCCUUUCUUCCUUGCUAGCACAUCGAUGACAGUGUUUGACUUCUUUCCUUUGACAAUCUUUUGACAUAUUUAUGCUAAGAAGAGCAACUGAUGAGCAAAGCAGAAGGAGAAACAAGGAUCAUACAAUAAAUAGCAUAGCAAGCACAUAAAAACUCUUUCCACACCAGAAUGUUUUAAGUAAGUGUAGCCUAGAAGCAGGUAGAUUAGACACAAAGGAAAAAAGCUUAAUUGUCUAGUUUUAGCUUUCUUCCCAGUGUGUGGAGCUACUCAAACACAUUCACUAGAGUGCAAAAGAAUAUGCAAGAAAGAUUGCAAGCUGGAAAGCUUUGUGUCCUUUUCCACCCUAGAUAUAAAUAACUCUUCGUAGACACUAAAAUCCCUAGCAACAUGAGGAUUUUGAUCUUGAGGACCUUUCCUCCUCUAAGCACUCUUCACCUCCAUUUGUAAAGUCUUUCAGGAGUAAAAAGUCUUGGCAUGAGUCUUUUGGGGUCAGAGCCAUUGCAAACAAACUUUGAACUAAUUUUUUUCCCUUUAAAAAUAGAUUUGUGUGAGUGCGUUUACUUCAUUCAUGUUGAACUUUACAUACCUUCCUUCUCAUUUUCAAAGGUACAUUUGUGAAUUUCCAGAGAGUGGGGACUUUUAAAUGUGUCCUAUGCCUGUCUUUAAUGAUUAAGAGGCUGUGCUCUACUCCUUAUAUAUGUGUGAAUCUCCUUCCCCUAAAGAUUUGAAUGCAAGAAUCUUAGAUGAGUGAGAUUAUAAGGGAAAAAGGGAAAAGAGAGAUCUAGUGUUAGGGACAGAAAAAUCCUGUGUCAGGAUAAAUAAGUCUUACUCUGAACAAACACAGCCAUUCUUCCAGUUUUAUAAAUUUCAGCAAACCUUUACAAUAUAUCCAUGAGAGUCACUGUUUUCCAGGUAAUAUACAGUCACCUUUCAACAAGUGACUCUUUGUACCUCUAUUAUAGAAACCAUGUCUGAUGAAUGAGAUAAAGAAAUUACUUACUUUGUAGCCUAGCAUCUCUGAUUUGUUCUCCAUUGUUUUUACAUGUUCCCAGUUCAAACAGAUUUUGGAAUUUGUCAGUUUCCAGGCAAUGUUUGCCGGAGGUUGACUUGGUGCUUUAAAAAAAUAUGAUGAUAAUCAGAAGAUACAACUGAAUAUUAAUUUGCAUCAUGUAAUUGAAUGAGCUGCUGACACAGAAGCAGCAAAUGCAUGGGUGAUUCAAAUCUAAGAGUAAAAAAUUGUUUCCAGUCCAUCAUUGCUCCCACAUUAGUCAGAAUAAAGCUCUAUUCAUAGCACAAAACCACUUACUGUGAGAGUUCAUUUUCAAAAUUAGGGAAAUCCUGACAGUGUCUGACAGCUCAAGUUAUAUUUGAUAGAUUUUGUUUAAGUCCUGUCUUCUUAUCUGUAUUUUAAUGUACUAGAGAAUGUUUUGCUGUGUGGAUUUCAAAAAAAAGGUAAAACUAAGAGCAAAAUACAGAAGAUAAGAUUUUCAUCAGCCAUGGGGACAGGUUACAAAGAGCUACACAUUAAAGUCUCCAUAUGAUCCAUCAUGAAACAUUGUAGAUUUUAUAAAUUCCCAGCACAAUAGGCUGAGAGUAGCUUUUCAAAGGCUUUUCAUGCCUAAGUGCCAGGACUUUGAAAAUUUGCCUACAAGUGACUGAAAUUGAAUCCUGUGUGAACAUGUGAAGCUGAAACUGUGCCUUUGAACCCUAUCUCAGAUUUAGAACAACACAUUAUCUCCUCCAUCGUGCAUCCUCCUAGACCCUGCCUGGGAGGACAGCACUGGGGAUGUUAGAAGAAAUAAGGACUUGAACAGAAUUUAGAAAAAGAGAGAGACUUGGAGGAACACAUUAUUUGGCUGGGAAGCAGACAUGCUGACAAUGAAGAUUUCAAGGAAUUCAGGAUUUUUUCGUAUUCAAAACUAGCAGGAAAUAAAACCAAGUGUGAAUAUUUAUAGAGAAGAAAUAAAAUUUCAGAGACUGAAUACCAAUUAAGGAAAUAAAUGAAAUCCUUAACUUUAUAGAUGUCUAAAAAGAAACCUUUGAUAAGGCUGCUUAAUAUCCCUGUGAAGAUCUGUUUGAUCACACCUGGGACCUGUUGAAUGCUACACAACCAUCACUAAUAAAAGUAACAGGCAUUACCAUCUUCCCCUGAGUAGAUGAUGGAAAUGGAGCUCAGAGUCCC